AACGAACGCCGGCGGCAGGCUUAACACAUGCAAGUCGAACGCCCCGCAAGGGGAGUGGCAGACGGGUGAGUAACGCGUGGGAACAUACCCUUUUCUACGGAAUAGCUCUGGGAAACUGGAAUUCAUACCGUAUACGCCCUACGGGGGAAAGAUUUAUCGGGGAAGGAUUGGCCCGCGAUGGAUUAGCUAGUUGGUGGGGUAAAGGCCUACCAAGGGGACGAUCCAUAGCUGGUCUGAGAGGAGGAUCAGGCACAUUGGGACUGAGACACGGACCAAACUCCUACGGGAGGCAGCAGUGGGGAAUAUUGGACAAUGGGCGCAAGCCUGAUCCAGCCAUGCCGCGUGAGUGAUGAAGGCCUUAGGGUUGUAAAGCUCUUUCACCGAUGAAGAUAAUGACGGUAGUCGGAGAAGAAGCCCCGGCUAACUUCGUGCCAGCAGCCGCCGUAAAAC
rnacentral:rRNA from 1 species